UACGUAGGGUGCUAGCGUUGUCCGGAAUCAUUGGGCGUAAAGAGCGUGUAGGCGGCUCGGUAAGUCCGCUGUGAAAGUCCAGGGCUCAACCCUGGAAUGCCAGUGGAAACUGUCGAGCUAGAGUCCGGAAGAGGCGAGUGGAAUUCCUGGUGUAGCGGUGAAAUGCGCAGAUAUCAGGAGGAACACCAAUGGCGAAGGCAGCUCGCUGGGACGGUACUGACGCUGAGGCGCGAAAGCGUGGGGAGCAAACAGG
rnacentral:rRNA from 1 species